rnacentral:lncRNA from 1 species
UCCCCAUGAUAAAUGUUCAUGUCGAUAAUAAAAUUACUGGAAAGACCGAGUUAUACUCUUAUUGGGUCUAAAGCUGAAAGUCUACAGGAUAUUAGGUCACAAAUAUCUUUGGAGAACUUAUUAUGAGAACCUUCAUAUAGACAAUGAUUAGGCUUUUAGUUAAUCCUAAUAAAUUUUCUUGAAAUAUCAUAGUACUUAGCACAAGAUCUUU